rnacentral:rRNA from 1 species
AGCGAACGCUGGCGGCAGGCCUAACACAUGCAAGUCGAACGGACUCUUCGGAGUUAGUGGCGGACGUGUGAGUACCACGUGGGAACGUGCCUUUUGGUUCGGAAUAACUCAGGGAAACUUGUGCUAAUACCGAAUGUGCCCUUCGGGGGUAAGAUUUAUCGCCAUUAGAGCGGCCCGCGUCUGAUUAGCUAGUUGGUGAGGUAACGGCUCACCAAGGCGACGAUCAGUAGCUGGUCUGAGAGGAUGACCAGCCACACUGGGACUGAGACACGGCCCAGACUCCUACGGGAGGCAGCAGUGGGGAAUCUUGCGCAAUGGGCGAAAGCCUGACGCAGCCAUGCCGCGUGAAUGAUGAAGGUCUUAGGAUUGUAAAAUUCUUUCACCGGGGACGAUAAUGACGGUACCCGGAGAAGAAGCCCCGGCUAACUUCGUG